UACGGAGGGUGCGAGCGUUUAUCGGAAUUACUGGGCGUAAAGCGCGCGUAGGCGGCUUGUUAAGUCGGAUGUGAAAUCCCCGGGCUCAACCUGGGAAUUGCAUCCGAUACUGGCGAGCUGGAGUGCGAUAGAGGGGGGUAGAAUUCCUAGUGUAGCGGUGAAAUGCGUAGAUAUUAGGAGGAAUACCGGUGGCGAAGGCGGCCCCCUGGAUCGACACUGACGCUGAGGUGCGAAAGCGUGGGUAGCAAAC
rnacentral:rRNA from 1 species